GUGGCGGACGGGUGAGUAACACGUAGGGGGACCUGCCCCGUGGUGGGGGGAGUAACACCGGGAAAACCGGUGCUAAGACCGCAUACGUCCUCGGGCAUAGCGGGCCCGAGGGGGAAAUGCGCGAGCAGCCACGGGAGGGCCUUGCGGCGGAUUAGGUAGUUGGUGGGGUAGAAGCCUACCAAGCCGACGAUCCGUAGCUGGUCUGAGAGGACGACCAGCCACACCGGGACUGAGACACGGCCCGG
rnacentral:rRNA from 1 species